UUUUUUUUUUUUUUGAAAAAAUAUAUACCUUCGUUUUUUUUUUUUACGAAACAAAAUACUAUUACUCUAUUAGUGCUACCUUUUUUUUUGUUUUUGAGGUAAAUGUUAUUUUCUUUAUAAAGUGGAAACACUUAACUGAUAAUAAAUAUAAGAUAAAAUUUUAGUGAAUAAAAUUUAAUUUAAUUUAUAAUACAUAGGAUAUAUUAAAUUAAUAAAUUUAAAGUAUUUUUUGAAAGAAAAAUUAGUUUACAAAAUUACAAAUACGUAAAUUAAUGAUAUAAUUUUUAUUAUGAAUUAAGAAUACCUUUUAUGUCAUUUUACAUUUAUCAGCUAGUUGAACCGCUAUUUUUACCAAACACUUCAGUUAGCUUAUCAGCUAAAAGCUAUCAGCUAACUUAUCAGUUAUCCGCUAUUUUUACCAAAGAGAGCCUAAAAAAAUAGUGUCUGCAAUAAUUAGCGUUUUAGACUAUUCAAUCAUUAUACCUUUUUGUUUUUCUUAACGUGCCUCUCUAUUUCAAAGAAGCUAGGCAUAAAAAAAUGUACGUGUUUGCAAGACUUACAUAUUGACUUGUUGUCCGAUCCAACAAAAGUAUUUGUGUGGCAUAUUGGUCAUUUAGUUAGAUUCCUUUAACUUAAUUAAUUAAUGACAAUGGCCAAAACUUGUCAUGAUGAAACGCCAUGAAUUAUGUCCUUAUAUUCAUCACAAAGUUUAGAAACAACGAAGAAGCAACCAAGAAACUACGUGCUCUUGGUAUCUUCCUUCACACUUCCCUUUAUCAUUUUUAUUUUAUUUUCAAAUAUAUACAUUUUUUUUGUGAACAUGGAGAUCAAUGGCAGCAAGAAGAGGAAAAUUUGCAACGAAGAAUUAGAUGAAGAAAAACAAAAAGAAGAGGAAGAGAAAAUAGAGACGUUUUUUGCUCUAGUGAGAAACAUGCGUGAGACACGUGACCGUUGGAGGAACAAAAUGAGUGAAAAUAUUAAGGAAGAAAAUAGAGUUGUUGGUGUUUGGAAGCCUACGUUUAAACUUGAAGAUUUCGCUGAAGAGGGUGCAUCUAAGAGCAAUAAUAUUAACUGUGCUAAUAUUAUUAAGGAAGAUGACACAGAAAAAGGUAUUAACUUGAAGCUCUCACUUUGAAAUUGUUGCUACAUGCAUCAAGAUAUCGUAGCUUGAUCUUAUGUUGUGUGUUGUAAAUUUGUAAUGGAUCAUUUUCAUGAUUUCUUUCCCUAACUUAUUAGUUGCCAAUAUGAGCAACAAGUAGAUUUAUAGUUUAAUUUAAUCAUAUGAUUUAUAUGUGUGCACUGUGCAGUAUGCUAUUGUAGUACUUUAGCAUCGCAUCCUAUAUAAUUUUCUUCAACUAAUUAACAGUUGUUUAUGCUCUUAGUUCAAAAAAUACUCCUUCAAAAUUCAUAGUUAACGAAGCUAGAGUUGUCACUCCGUCGCAUAUUGAAGUUAUUUAAACAAUUUCAUAUAGAUCAAUACAAGUAGUUAAAUUUGUAUGGUGAAGAGAAAUUAUGAGUAACUUUAUAGAAUUAUCAUUUAUAGUUGGCAUGAAAAAUAAAAAUUAAAGAAUUGAAAAGAAAAAAAGAAACUUUUGAAUUGAUAAUCUGGUAUUUCGUGUGAUAAACUGUGGAGACUAAAUUUUCAAGUUGAUAAGACCACAAUAAAUUACAAAUUCCUCAAAAUAAUUAACACUUUUUUAAUGACAUAUAUAUAAAAGAAAAAGAGAACAAAUGUUCAACACCAACAAUAAAAAGGAACCAAAAAGAUAAAAAAAAAAAAAAAAAAACCUAGCAUCACCAAUAUCAAACAAAAAUACAACACCCUAGAAAAAUACGAAAAGAUAAACACCAACCACAAAGCAACUUAAGAGGGAAAGAACGCCCCUACAAGGCUACAACAAACACCAAGAACCCAACACAAAAGGACAAUGAAUGAAGAAAUUUAACACUAUUGUAUUUUCAGAGCUGAAUUUAACUCAUGACCUCUAGUUAAGUUGGAAGCUUUUACUAUCUC
rnacentral:lncRNA from 1 species